rnacentral:rRNA from 1 species
GUGGGGAAUAUUGGACAAUGGGCGAAAGCCUGAUCCAGCCAUGCCGCGUGUGUGAAGAAGGUCUUCGGAUUGUAAAGCACUUUAAGUUGGGAGGAAGGGCAGUAAGUUAAUACCUUGCUGUUUUGACGUUACCGACAGAAUAAGCACCGGCUAACUUCGUGCCAGCAGCCGCGGUAAUACGAAGGGUGCAAGCGUUAAUCGGAAUUACUGGGCGUAAAGCGCGCGUAGGUGGUUUUGUAAGUUGGAGGUGAAAUCCCCGGGCUCAACCUGGGAACUGCCUCCAAAAGUGCAUGACUAGAGUACGGUAGAGGGUAGUGGAAUUUCCUGUGUAGCGGUGAAAUGCGUAGAUAUAGGAAGGAACACCAGUGGCGAAGGCGACUACCUGGACUGAUACUGACACUGAGGUGCGAAAGCGUGGGGAGCAAACAGGAUUAGAUACCCUUGUAGUCC